GUGCUCACUUCAGCAGCACAAGUACUAAAAUUGGAAAAUGCAGAGAAGAUUAGCUUGGCACCUGUGCAAGGAUGACAUGCAAAUUCGUGAAGUGUUCCAUAUUUUU